CUCUUCUUCUGCUCCUGCUCUCCCCUCUCCUCUCAGGCGAUGAAACUAGGGUUUCAUCUCAGAAAUCGUAUUAGCCGAGGAACCAUCACAAAAAUCUUUUCAAUAGCCUUCAAUCAUCGAUAUGUGGUUUGAAGAAAUUUGAAGACUUGAAGAACUCUGAAGAAAUUUGAAGACUUAGAAGCAUCAGGUCAAGUGGAUAUCAAUUGCCCCUUUCUUAAUUUGUACCAGGGAAGUCAGCAAGGGAGUUUUUUCUUUUAUGGAAAUCGUAUUUGCUCAGCAUCACAACAUCAGGUCAAGUGGAUAUCAACUGCCCUUUUCAAGUGGUCAUUGAACGUGUUUGGAAGGGAACUACCUUCGGUAUAUUCAACAGUUAUUCUCAAGUACCGUGUUUUGUUGAAAAUUACACGUAAAAGUAAAAAAAACUAGUGACCCAUCCAAUUCUGCAUCACCAGCUUCAUCAAGAGUACGUGGUGGACCGCUUUGUUCGUUACUGAACUUCGAGAAUGAAGUAGUUGCAACUGGUGAGAUCUGAACUGGUACUUUAGCAAAUCAGUUUCACGGAGAUCCUAUAUCUAUACAUCUUUCCAAGGUAUGUAUCGAUGAUAUUCUCAUGCCAGAUGCAAUCACUGCGAAAGCUAACAAGGUCAGUUGAAGCAGUAGUAGCUAGUCGGGGAAAUAUCAAUCCCUGGUAAGUACUUCACUUGGUUAUUAUACUUAAACUAUUAAGUUUAAAUUUGUGGAUUUGACACUCAGUUUAUACUUGCGAGGUAUUACGCUGGUGGGAAGUGGACUGCAGUGUGGUUGGCAUCAACUUAUAGUAAGUAUCCACUGUGAUUUCUAGACUUAGUGGCCCAUUAAUUCACCUUUCUGCUCUAAGGGACAUCUGCACACCUACAGGUUCUGCGACAAUGUCUGGACCUUUAUCUUGCAAGAUGCGUUGUUUAAGAACGAGGAGUGCCAAGAGAAUGUUGGCAAGGUUAAAAUUGUUGCAUGCGACUCCAAGUUGCUCAGUCAAUGAGUUCAGAUAGACUGUUUUCUCUUUCUGAGUUGUUUUUAAAUGACACAUCACAUUGUGUUAAAAAAAGGGACCAAAGAUAGUGCCAACUUAUGAAGCUUCAUCUUACUUAAUUGCAGUUAACCAGUAAUUUAUCAGGAAUGUGGUGAAUCUUAUGACAUGGGGGCCGAGAUAUUAAUUCCCUGCAAAAUGUGUAAACCUCCUGCCAAACACUGGAUUGCCUACAACGAGUUUUCUGAUCCUCAAGCUUUCAACAAAGCAAGCCUGCGAAGGAUAUAAUGAAGUAGUUGUUGUUAUUUGAAUUUGUAAGUUCCAUGUAGUCAAGUUUUGUAGGCAUUUAGUAAGUUUGUAUUUGUUCCCUUAGAAAUUUGGAACCUUCCAUGUAUUCCUUUGGAAAUUUUAUACUUACAAAAAAAAAAAAAGUUUGGUAUUUAGAGAAAUUUCAGUUCUUUUUUUAUAUGAACCUGAGAUGAAUUGAAUGAAUGUGAUUAUGGAUUGAAUGAAUGUUCUUUUGCUUAGAU